UACAGAGGGGGCAAGCGUUGUUCGGAAUUACUGGGCGUAAAGGGCGCGUAGGUGGCCUUCUAAGUUGAACGUGAAAUCCCUGGGCUCAACCCAGGAACUGCGUCCAAGACUGGGAGGCUUGAAUCCGGGAGAGGGAAGCGGAAUUUCUGGUGUAGCAGUGAAAUGCGUAGAUAUCAGAAGGAACAUCAGUGGCGAAGGCGGCUUCCUGGACCAAUACUGACGAUCAGGUGCGAAAGCGUGGGGAGCAAACAGG
rnacentral:rRNA from 1 species